rnacentral:lncRNA from 1 species
UACUGUGAAUUCAUUAUUAUUCGUUGGAUACCAAUUUUCGUGGUUUCCGUGGGUACAGGUGAACCACGAAUUUAAAUGUUCAACGAAUAACAAAUUUUGGAUUAGGAUGUGUGCAGACUUUGGCAAAACCACGAAAUCAAAUAUCCACGAAAAGACAAGUUUUCAGCAAUCCACGAAAAUUGGUAUCCACGAAAAUAAAUGAAUCCACAGUA